GAAUUCUAAAACAAUUUGCAGAAAUGAAACUCUUGGCAUUAGUAAUGGGUCUGUGUCUCAUAUGCAGCGUUUAUUCCACACGGCAUCGCGGUAGAUUUGAUCCACCGGGGACCCUUCCCGAACUCCCGAAUGUCUGGGGGUAAAAUUUAAAGUACGAAAUAAAUUUGAUAGAAGUGCUGUUUUUCUAUACAUAAAGCGUGUAAUAAACAUAUGGAUAAUUUCAUGGCGGAAUUUGUGAAACUCUUUACAUUGAAUAUAACAUAAACUGAAACAAUUUUGAAAAUAAGAAA